CAGGGAGAGACAAGAGACACAGAGACAUAGACAGAGACAAGGAUGGGGAGAGAUAAGAGACACAGAGACAUAGAGACAGGGAUGGGGAGAGAGAUAAGAGAUGAAGAGACAUAGAGAGAGACAGGGAUGGGGAGAGAUAAGAGACACAGAGACAUAGAGAGAGAGAGACAGGGAUGGGGAGAGACAAGAGACAUAGAGAGACAGGGAUGGGGAGAGAUAAGAGACACAGAGACAUAGAGAGAGACAGGGAUGGAGAGAGACACAGAGACGUAGACAGAGAAAGACAAGGACAAGGAGAGAUAAGAGACACAGAGACAUAGAGAGACAGGGAUGGGGAGAGAUAAGAGACACAGAGACAUAGAGAGAGACAGGGAUGGGGAGAGACAAGAGACAUAGAGACAGGGACAAAGACAGACACAGAGAGAGAGAUGGGGAUGGAGAGAGAUAAGAGACAGGGACGGGGAGGGACAGAGACACAAGAGACAGAAAGAGAGAGAUGAGAUGAGAUAGAUAAGAAACAGAGACAGAGAUGGGAGAAAAAGGGAGGAGAUGGGAACAGGGAAAAAGAGACAUGGAGACAGACAUGCAGAGAGAACACAACAGAGGCAGAGAACACACAGGGAGAGAAAGAGGCAGCAAGAUGGGCCCAGGAA
rnacentral:lncRNA from 1 species